GUUGAUCCUGCGGGAGGUUGCUGCUAUUUGGGUUCGACUAAGCCAUGCAAGUUUGCUUUCUUACGAAGGCAGCAGAAUGCUCAGUAACACGUCAAUAACCUGCCCUUAGGUUCAGGAUAACCUUGGGAAACUGAGGCUAAAACUGGAUAGGGGAAUUGUAUUGGAAUAUUUUUUCCCUUAAAAGCAACGCCUAAGGGUGGGUUGGCGGUCGAUUAGGUUGUUGGUAGGGUAAAGGCCUACCAAGCCAAAGAUCGAUAGGAGCCUUGAGAGAGGUAGCUCCGAGAAGGGCACUGAGGCACUGGCCCUAGCCCUACGGGGUGCAGCAGGCGCGAAACCCUUACAAUGCACGAAAGUGUGAUAAGGGAACCCUAAGUGCUUUACUUUUGUAAAGCUUUUUUUAAGAGUAAAAAUCUUAAAGAAUAAGUGGUGGGCAAGACGGGUGCCAGCCGCCGCGGUAACACCCGCGCCACAAGUGGCAAUCAUAAUUAUUGGGCCUAAAGCGUCCGUAGCUUGAUUAGCAAAUCUUCUGUGAAAUUGUUAAGCUUAACUUAACAAAGUGCAGGAGAGACUACUAAUCUUGGAACUGGGAGGAGUUAGAAGUAUUUCUGGGGGAGCGGUAAAAUGCUAUAAUCCCAGAAGGACUACCUGUGGCGAAGGCGCCUAACUAGAACAGAUUCGACAGUGAGGGACGAAAGCUAGGGGAGCGAUCCGGAUUAGAUACCCGAGUAGUCCUAGCCGUAAACGCUGCGAGCAAGGUGUUACAUAUUCUUCGUGAAUAUGUAGUGUCGAAAUGAAGAUGUUAAGCUCGCCGCCUGGGAAGUAUAGUCGCAAGACCGAAACUUAAAGGAAUUGGCGGGGGAGCACUACAAGGGGUGCGGCGUGCGGUUUAAUCUAAUUCAACGCAGAAAAUCUCACCAGAGGCGACGGCAGGAUGAAAGUCAGGUUGAAGACUUUACUUGACGAGCCGAGAGGUAGUGCAUGGCCGCCGUCAGCUCGUGCCGUAAGGUGUCCUGUUAAGUCAGGCAACGAGCGAGACCUGUGUUUACAAUUGCUAACAACUUUAAUAAAGGAUUGAGCACAUUGUAAGAACUGCCCUGGAAACAGGGAGGAAGGUGCAGGCUACGGUAGGUCUGUAUGCUCCGAAUCCUCUGGGCUACACGCGCGCAACAAUGGUAAGGACAAUAGGAUACAACUCCGAAAGGAGAAGUUAACCCCAAAAACCUUAUCUUAGUCCAGAUUGAGGACUGUAACUUGUCCUCAUGACGUUGGAAUCCCUAGUAAUCAGACGUCAUCAUCGUCUGGUGAAUAUGUCCCUGCUCCUUGCACACACCGCCCGUCAAACCACCCGAGUAGGGUUUAGAUGAGGCCUUAUUUUUAAUGAGUUCGAAUCUAAGCUCCGCGAGGAGGGUUAAGUCGUCACAAGGUA
rnacentral:rRNA from 1 species